rnacentral:lncRNA from 1 species
CAGCUUUCUGGGCAUAGUAGAAGAGCUCAGAGAUGUUCUUGAGGUUCUUGGCAGAGCACUCCACACAGGUCUCAAUCUCCGAGAACUGGUUCAUGAUGGGCAGGAUGACUUCCAUGGAGCUCCCCAUCUGCAGGUCAGACUUGUUUCCAACUAAAAUAAUGGGGAUCCUGGCACCCUUUUCAGCUCCCCCGUUCACCAUGGGGAUCCAUUUUGUGCGAAUCUUCUCGAUUGUGGCUUCCUUGGUGACAUCAUACACCACGCAGACCACGUUGGCCUUAGCAAUCUCCUCUUGCAGCUCAUCCUCAGUCUGCUCUGACUCUGAGUAGUCCACAAUGUGCGUGGGGACCUUCUCAGGUGUGACAUCAGCCGGGAUCGUGAUCUCUUCUGCACGAGGUGGCACCUCCUCGGGGAACUCCUCUCCCACCAGAGCCAUGAUCAGGGACGUCUUCCCCACCUGGGCCUCCCCCAGCAGCAGGAUCCGCACGUCCCGCUUCAUGGCGGCACCGCCGCCGCUCCCGGG